rnacentral:lncRNA from 1 species
CAGAUGGUUGGGGUUAGUGUGUGUCAUCACAUUCGAGUGGGGAUUAAGAGAAGGAAGGCUGCCUUGCUGGAGCUGUGUGGUCUUCUCCAAGAGAGAGUUGCAGGCAAGACAACUACUUUGCUUUUGGAAGAAGAGGAGGGAUUCAUUUUCAGCGGCCACGAGAAAAGCAGUUUUUCAGGUGUGACGGCCUCCCAUCGUCAAUUGGAGAAGGCGAAUUUCACAAAUGAGAUGCAGGUUCUUCACGGCAGAAUAAUUGCAGACAGUCUUCAAAGGACUCCAUCUGCAGAUGUUCUGAAUACCUCUGAGUCUAGAAAUUGAUUAUUCAACCAGGAUACCUAAUUCAAGACUGCCAGAACUCAGGAGACCAAGACAUUUUGUCAGUUUU